AGUUGUUGCGGUUAAAAAGCUCGUAGUUGGACUUGUGUCCCACGCCGUCGGUUCGUCGCCCGUCGACGUAACCGCACGGUUAUGUGAGUGGGACGUCCAGCCGGUGGGUUGUCAGGUCGCGCGCUCAGCUGGCCGCGCCCCUUGGCGGUGUCCAUACCGUGGCCUCGCCGUGACGUGUGUUGGGCGGGUGGUGGCGUUCGCGUCUCCCCCCCUGGCCCGUCAUCAAAAGCGGCGUGUGUUGCGGGGCCCGCCUCGCAGGGUGUCGCUGUGUCGGCGCGUGCGGUGCCGGACCCAUGUUACUCGUCUCGGUGCUCUUAAUCGAGUGUCUUGACGGGCCGGCUCUUUUACUUUGAACAAAUUAGAGUGCUUAAAGCAGGCCAAUUGCCGCCUGAAUAUUGUGUGCAUGGAAUAAUGGAAUAGGAUCUCGGUUCUAUUUUGUUGGUUUUCUGAACCAGAGAUAAUGAUUAAUAGAGACCGACGGGGGCAUUCGUAUUGCGACGUUAGAGGUGAAAUUCUUGGAUCGUCGCAAGACGAACAGAAGCGAAAGCAUUUGCCAAGAACGCUUUCUUUAAUCAAGAACGAAAGUUAGAGGUUCGAAGGCGAUCAGAUACCGCCCUAGUUCUAACCAUAAACGAUGCCAACUAGCGAUCCGCCGGAGUUCCUCCGAUGACCCGGCGGGCAGCUUCCGGGAAACCAAAGUGUUUGGGUUCCGGGGGAAGUAUGGUUGCAAAGCUGAAACUUAAAGGAAUUGACGGAAGGGCACCACCAGGAGUGGAGCCUGCGGCUUAAUUUGACUCAACACGGGAAAACUCACCAGGCCCGGACACUGGAAGGAUUGACAGAUUGAUAGCUCUUUCUUGAUUCAGUGGGUGGUGGUGCAUGGCCGUUCUUAGUUGGUGGAGCGAUUUGUCUGGUUAAUUCCGAUAACGAACGAGACUCUGGCCUGCUAACUAGUCGCACAUUGACGACAUCCGCAUUCGUGCUGUCGGCGACAAAUAUAAACUCUUCUUAGAGGGACAGGCGGCUUCUAGCCGCACGAGAUUGAGCAAUAACAGGUCUGUGAUGCCCUUAGAUGUUCUGGGCCGCACGCGCGCUACACUGAAUGGUUCAACGUGUGUCUUCCCUUGACCGAGAGGUCCGGGUAACCCGCUGAAAUCCAUUCGUGCUAGGGAUCGGGGCUUGCAAUUAUUCCCCGUGAACGAGGAAUUCCCAGUAAGCGCGAGUCAUAAGCUCGCGUUGAUUACGUCCCUGCCCUUUGUACACACCGCCCGUCGCUACUACCGAUUGAAUGAUUUAGUGAGGUCUUCGGACAGUCGCGCGGCGGCGCCCGCGAGGGCCCGUCGAUGUUCGACUGAAAGAUGAUCAAACUGAUAUUUGGAGG
rnacentral:rRNA from 1 species